GAUGAACGCUGGCGGCGUGCCUAAUACAUGCAAGUCGAGCGAACGGACGAGAAGCUUGCUUCUCUGAUGUUAGCGGCGGACAGGUGAGUAACACGUGGAUAACCUACCUAUAAGACUGGGAUAACUUCGGGAAACCGGAGCUAAUACCGGAUAAUAUUUUGAACCGCAUGGUUCAAAAGUGAAAGACGGUCUUGCUGUCACGUAUAGAUGGAUCCGCGCUGCAUUAGCUAGUUGGUAAGGUAACGGCUUACCAAGGCAACGAUGCAUAGCCGACCUGAGAGGGUGAUCCGCCACACUGCAACUGAGACACGGUCCAGACUCCUACGGGAGGCAGCCGUAGGGAAUCUUCCGCAAUGGGCGCAUGCCUGACGGAGCAACGCCGCGUGAGUGAUGAAGGUCUUCGGAUCGUAAAACUCUGUUAUUAGGGAAGAACAUAUGUGUAAGUAACUGUGCACAUCUUGACGGUACCUAAUCAGAAAGCCACGGCUAACUACGUG
rnacentral:rRNA from 1 species